GCAUGUGAGGGUGAUCUGGCUGCAACAAUCUUUCAUGCCAUUGAUUGUCAGGGUUGAUUUGGCUGCUCUGGCUACCUAGGUGAGUCUCCCCUUCCUUCCUUAUUGCUCCAUGUGCAUCCCUUCUGAAGCUGCAUGCUUGGUCAAAGGGGAGGACCAUUUCCAAUAGAGGACUGGUCUUUGGUCAAGGAUAUACAAGUAACUGCACUCCCCUGCUAGAACCUCCAAAUAAGCUCUCAAGGAAAUACAGGACCCACAAGAUAAGCCUCCUCCCCAUUUUUUGUCAAUUGACAGCAGCUAAUU
ensembl:misc_RNA 7SK 7SK RNA